UACGAAGGGAGCUAGCGUUGUUCGGAAUCACUGGGCGUAAAGCGCACGUAGGCGGAUGUGUCAGUCAGGGGUGAAAUCCCGGAGCUCAACUUCGGAACUGCCCUUGAUACAGCACGUCUUGAGUCCGGAAGAGGUGGGUGGAAUUCCUAGUGUAGAGGUGAAAUUCGUAGUUAUUAGGAAGAACACCGGUGGCGAAGGCGGCCCACUGGUCCGGUACUGACGCUGAGGUGCGAAGGCGUGGGGAGCGAACGGG
rnacentral:rRNA from 1 species